rnacentral:rRNA from 1 species
AUUGAACGCUGGCGGCAGGCUUAACACAUGCAAGUCGAGCGGAGCGAGGGUGCUUGCACCUUAGCUUAGCGGCGGACGGGUGAGUAAUGCUUAGGAAUCUGCCUAUUAGUGGGGGACAACAUUCCGAAAGGGAUGCUAAUACCGCAUACGCCCUACGGGGGAAAGCAGGGGAUCACUUGUGACCUUGCGCUAAUAGAUGAGCCUAAGUCGGAUUAGCUAGUUGGUGGGGUAAAGGCCUACCAAGGCGACGAUCUGUAGCGGGUCUGAGAGGAUGAUCCGCCACACUGGGACUGAGACACGGCCCAGACUCCUACGGGAGGCAGCAGUGGGGAAUAUUGGACAAUGGGGGGAACCCUGAUCCAGCCAUGCCGCGUGUGUGAAGAAGGCCUUUUGGUUGUAAAGCACUUUAAGCGAGGAGGAGGCGCUCUAGGAUAAUACCCUAGAUGCGUGGACGUUACUCGCAGAAUAAGCACCGGCUAACUCUGUGCCAGCCGCCGCGGAACAC